GGGAAUGUGGCUUAGUGGUAGAGUGCUUGCCUAGUAUGCUUGAAGCCCUGGGUUCAAUUCCUCAGUACCA
rfam:Dipodomys ordii contig_11123, whole genome shotgun sequence.